rnacentral:rRNA from 1 species
GACGAACGCUGGCGGCGUGCUUAACACAUGCAAGUCGAGCGGUAAGGCCCUUUCGGGGGUACACGAGCGGCGAACGGGUGAGUAACACGUGGGUGACCUGCCCUCGGCUCUGGGAUAAGCCUGGGAAACCGGGUCUAAUACUGGAUAUGACUCCAUGACGCAUGUUGUGGGGUGGAAAGCCUUGUGCGGCUGAGGAUGGGCCCGCGGCCUAUCAGCUUGUUGGUGGGGUGAUGGCCUACCAAGGCGACGACGGGUAGCCGGCCUGAGAGGGCGA